rnacentral:rRNA from 1 species
CCUACGGGAGGCAGCAGUGGGGAAUAUUGCACAAUGGGGGAAACCCUGAUGCAGCGACGCCGCGUGAGUGAAGAAGUAUUUCGGUAUGUAAAGCUCUAUCAGCAGGGAAGAAAAUGACGGUACCUGAGCAAGAAGCCCCGGCUAACUACGUGCCAGAAGCCUCGGUAAUACGUAGGGGGCAAGCGUAAUCCGGAUUUACUGGGUGUAAAGGGAGCGUAGACGGGAGAAGAAGUCUGGAGGGAAAUGCCGGGGCUGAACCCGGGAACUGCUUUGGAAACUGUGCAGCUGGAAUGCAGACGCGGUAAGUGGAAUGUGUGGUGUAGCGGUGAAAUGAGUAGAUAUGAGGAGGAACACCGGUGGCGAAGGCGGCUCACUGAACUGUAACUGACGCUGAGGCUCGAAAGCGUGGGGAGCAAACAGGAUUAGAUACCCCUGUAGUC